rnacentral:rRNA from 1 species
GUUGACGGAGCGAAGCGACGUCAAACCGAUAAAACAGCAGUGUAAAGUGAGCCGCAGGGCGCUUUGCGCGACAGCGCAAAGGCAGGCGGUUUCGCGUAGCGAAAGCGAAUGCUUUGGGGUGGGGUGACUGCGUACCUUUUGUAUAAUGGGUCAGCGACUUAUAUUCUGUAGCAAGGUUAACCGAACAGGGGAGCCGGAGGGAAACCGAGUCUUAACCGGGCGUUAAGUUGCAGGGUAUAGACCCGAAACCCGGUGAUCUAGCCAUGGGCAGGUUGAAGGUUGGGUAACACUAACUGGAGGACCGAACCGACUAAUGUUGAAAAAUUAGCGGAUGACCUGUGGCUGGGGGUGAAAGGCCAAUCAAACCGGGAGAUAGCUGGUUCUCCCCGAAAGCUAUUUAGGUAGCGCCUCGUGAAUUCAUCUCCGGGGGUAGAGCACUGUUUCGGCUAGGGGGCCAUCCCGGCUUACCAACCCGAUGCAAACUGCGAAUACCGGAGAAUGUUAUCACGGGAGACACACGGCGGGUGCUAACGUCCGUCGUGAAGAGGGAAACAACCCAGACCGCCAGCUAAGGUCCCAAAGUCAUGGUUAAGUGGGAAACGAUGUGGGAAGGCCCAGACAGCCAGGAUGUUGGCUUAGAAGCAGCCAUCAUUUAAAGAAAGCGUAAUAGCUCACUGGUCGAGUCGGCCUGCGCGGAAGAUGUAACGGGGCUAAACCAU